AAAACAGCCAAUAGAGUGUACCUGAUGUUGAGAAAAGCAUCGCUCCUGCUGGUAACAUCAACUCCCUCCAAUGAGGACAAAGCAUGAGGUUCAUAAAAAUGAAUCUGCAACAUACACUUACCUCUCUAUCAAACACCAGCAUAGACAUCAAGGCUGAUACAAUAGAUUCCACAAAUUCUUGCAGAGCAUCAGGUUCAUAUGCUCCUGCAAGUGCAAAGCAGGCAUAGCUUGCAGCAUCACGGGUGUUAGUUCCCACUAAGUCUGGUUCAUCACACUCCAGAGCUUCAAGUAUGAUUGGUACCACUUCAUGGAGUUGCUGUUGUAAAACUCCCAUGCGACCCAAUUCUGCAAAAACAAUGCAUCUUCUGCGCCAUUCCCCAUCAGACUCUGGUGGUGUGAACAGUUGCAGAAUUGAAGGGAGUACAUCUUCUGCCACCUCGGGAAAUUCUUCCAACAGUCUACUGGUACCAUCUGCAGCUAACGACCUAAAAUAUAACAUGACUGAACUUAACACCUCUUUCAACCGCUGAAACUGUAAGUCAGUCGCAUAUGAGAAACUUUACUGGGGUUACAAUAAAUCUGAACCACA